rnacentral:tRNA from 2 species
GCGGGAAUAGCUCAGUGGUAGAGCAUCGCCUUGCCAAGGCGGAGGUCGCGGGUUCAAAUCCCGUUUCCCGCUCCA